GGCUCUGUGAUUACUUUGCCUAAUAUUUGGCAAUAUACGCUAUUCUGAUUCAACACAUGAACAGAGACAUUCUAGAAAGGAAAAGAUGAGAGCC
rnacentral:snoRNA from 1 species